GGCCCCUGCCCCUCUCUCUCCCUCACUCUCGCUCGAUGGCUGGUGGGUCCCCACUCCCCUCCACCUCUAGCAGCGGCAGCCCAGUGUUGGAACCUUAGCCAUCGUCUAAGCUUUCCUACUCGGCUGCUUCAAGCCUCCCACCCUAUCAAGACUUUUGAGGAUGGAAAAACCAAAGGAACAAUGGGGAAAAACAUAAGAAAAAUCAACAAAAAAACAAAAGAAAUAAGGAAAAAAUUAAUAUGUUAGACUUUUUUUCACAUAGAUUGAUCAUUUUUUUCCUUUUCAUUUUUUUUCUUUUUAUUUUAUUUUCCUUUUUUGAGAUCUGUGAGGAAGGAGAGCACUUGAGGG
rnacentral:lncRNA from 1 species